UGGCGGACGGGUGAGUAACGCGUAAAGAACUUGCCCUUUAGACUGGGAUAACAGAGGGAAACUUCUGAUAAUACUGGAUAAGUUAGUAUAUCGCAUGAUAUGCAAAUGAAAGCUACGGCACUAAAGGAGAGCUUUGCGUCCUAUUAGCUAGUUGGUAAGGUAAGAGCUUACCAAGGCGAUGAUAGGUAGCCGGCCUGAGAGGGUGGACGGCCACAAGGGGACUGAGAUACGGCCCUUACUCCUACGGGAANCAGCAGCG
rnacentral:rRNA from 1 species